GGCUCUGGGCGGCCGUGACCCUGCUGGAGUGCGGGGGGGACCUCCAGCCCCCCGGGGGGUCCCUGACUCUGCUCUGACGCGCCUCUGGAUUCGAUUUCGGAGAUUUUGGCAUGUUCUGGAUCCGCGAGAGACCCGGGAAGGCGCUGGAAUUCGUCGCACUGAUCACCAGCGGUGGCACCACCCAGUACGCGCCGUCGGUCAAGGGGGGCGGGCAGAGCUCGGUGACGCUGACCAUGAACAGCCUCAAGGACGAGGAUUCCGGCGCCUAUUUCUGCGCCAAAUGUGCUG